UGAUCAAGGCUGUCCACUGGUGUCUGGAUU
rnacentral:piRNA from 1 species